UUUUUCUGAACCUGGUGGGGGAGGAGUGGUCGUAACCUGCCUUCUAUCAGAGGAUAUAUUUCUAAAUUUUCCCAAACUGGUACAACUAUUCAGGAUAUAAGGUAACAGAGUAGAUGGUAAGUGGAUCUGAUUGCAUUACGAUGGGGGAAAACCCCACAAAUUCUAAUUAUACCUGUCUUCAAACUUUCAUGGCUCCUUUUUAUGUUGGUUUUUGUUUGUUUACUUGUUUAAUGUGUGUGUGUGUGUGUGUGUGUUUUGCUUUGUUUUUCUCUUUUUCAUCUCCAUCCUUGUAGACUUUUUAUUUGGAGCUAAAGAGAAACCGUGUGACCUCUUAGCACAAGCCAGAGUUCCAUCUUCUAUGCUAGUACCUGCUGUUUGUGCUGCUAAUCAAAACUAAAAGGAGGCUCUUUGUUGCCAGAGUUCAGGUUUCUGUCAUGAGCCCUGUGACAUCUCUUGUUUCUGCUUCAAAGCACCACACCAUGGAGAGGGAGCUCUGUGGGCCAGGAUCAUAUCAAUUUGUCAGGGGUGGGUGGUGUCUUUGUGGCAGGCUGGUGGCAGGAAAAGUCUUGCCCUGUGAUGUAUCUCAGCCCCAGAAAUUUCAGCCUCUGACCUACAGAACAGGGUUAGUCACUUUCCACCACAGGGCAAUGCUGUAACUGCUCCAGGAGCAGCUGUUGAGCGGUAGAACAGAGCCUAAGGCUCUCAUAAACCUGGGAACUCCUCCCUUAUUACUGUACCUGAAAUCCCCGACCCUAUUUGUGCCUGCAGGGUAUGAGCUGAAAUCUCUCAAGCAGAGGUGGCUGCCCAGAAGCACAGAUUGUUGGUGUAGUCAGCUGAGCCUUAAGUGUUUUAAAUUUGGGCUGUUUGCUCAUCUCCACCUUACAGACAAAUAUUUUUAAUAAUAAAGCUAUAUGAAUAGAGGAAUGAAGAAUGACAUUUGACAUUAAAAUGAACAACAUAACAUAAAGGCAGGUUUUCCCAUCCCUCUAAGUAAUUUGCAUUAGUGAGAAUUUAUAGCAUUACAGGUUUCUGUUGUAUUACAACAAGCAUUAGUAUGAGAGCCUGAAUGCUGAACAUUUGUGAAAUAACAACAUCUUCAAGGGUGUACCAUUAUACUCUAAGUGCUAGUAUUAUUUUAAAAGAAACCAUAUUGCUUUUAACAUUUUCAUUAUGCAUAGAAGUCGUAAUGAGACUCAGUGCUGUGUUUGCUAAUAUGUCUCAUCUGUAUUUUCACAGAGGAGAAUUUUAAAUAUUUAUAGCAACAAGUGUUUAUGUUCAGGAAUUUUGCUUUGACAAGGCAAACCCCUUAAAUAAAGUUGAAAGACACUUUAAUUCAAAGCCUAGGAGUAAAAUGCCUUUAUCAUAUAGCCCUAGAUUUUUUUGUACCUUGCAUGAAUCUACAAAAUUGUAUCUGUUUUCACAUUCCUGUGCUUGUUUCUCUGAUCCCCAUCUGAAAAAUGCCUGACCCAACAGAGCACCUCACCAGCGUGGGAGUGAAAUGAUUGGUGUCUAUUCAUGGAAAAUGCCUGAAAGCUCAAACUGUCCAAAACUGUGCUGACUAUCAGAUUUGUAAUCCCACUGUGCUGAGACCUUAACUAUUGCAUCUGAAGAGGCGUUUGCAGCACAGGAGAAGGAAAAGGCCUCACGCCAAUCUGCACAAUCCUACAUUAUUUACUACCUCUCUGUAUAGCACAGCUUCGGCUGGCAGGGAGAGCUAGAGCUGAGAAAGGGAGAUGCGUGCUGCUGCUUUGAGAAGUGCAAAUAAGAUUAGAGUUGCCAGUGCCUGCUGAGAGGUAAAUUUCUUUUCCAGAAGCUGAACACACCUUUUUUCGGAAACAGAAUCUUUGUUCAUGGGAACUGCUAGCCUGCUUCCAUCUGCCACACUUAAACACUGGACCUGGCAACAGCUCUGCAAGCUUCUGCACAGCCAUCGGGUCGUGUUUAAGGCCACUGAAAGGAACGGGUUAAUCUUUACACCGCCGUGAGUCACACAAUGUCCCCUCAUCCUCCGGGAAGUCAAACUCGCAUGACAAGGCUAAGGAGCUGCAGAAUAAGCAUCAUUCCCUUUGGGCACCCAAAAAAAGGAACCUCACCCUAACGGAAAAACCUGUUCGUGAGCCGAGACCCACUCCCCGCCACCCCACAUCAACCCCCGGCUGCCUUCCUCGGGUCCCGUAAAAUACCCCAAAAGCCCAUGGCAGAAGGAAGCGGGUCCCUCACCGCCUCCCUCGCCCGGGAUGUCGCUCCAGGUGCGGGGGGGACGCGCUGGCCCCGCGCGCAUCUCCCGCCAGGUGGAGCAAGAAACCAAGAUUAGACUUUCCCGAUUCCCGGGUGUUUGGUGCUUUUUUGGUUGUUCGGUUUUGGUUUUAUUUCGUUGGUGGUGUUACCCGCCCCUCCCCCUCCACUUCGCCCUUAAUUUUGCCUUUUUUCUCCCCAAACCGGAGUUUCAAGGCAAUGAUGACGCAAAGGGGGAGGCCGGUAUUUACUUCUCCUUUAGACGCCCCCGAGAGCGGGUGAUGCUCUCUGCAGUUUGCAGCGUGUCAGCGAUAAAGGGUGGUGGGAGGGGGAGAAGGUAGGGAGCACAAUGAGCUGCAUCAAUCCUCCUUCUGCGUGCCUACCGAUUAUAGCAGGAAAAUAAAAUUUAAAAAUUUAAAAAGGCAGAUCGCUCUUUUUGCAUUAGUGAAGAAAAGUUGGAAAGCCUAUUCCUGUACACAGCAGCAUAAAAUUCACAUUAACAUCUCAUUAAGCCUAAAUGCACUUAGGGAUUGAUCCAAAGGCCAUCAAACUCAAUGGGAGACUUUCCAUUGCCUUCAAAAGGGAUUUGGAUCAUGCUGUUAGAGAUUGGCAAAAGCUCAUAUUAACAAAACAAAAAAUUUCUGACAUUACCUAAAAGGCUAUAAAAGCGUUUCCAUUCCUUUUUCUGGGAAAUCCCUUUUACAGCUGAUCAAAUGUAAUCACAGCAGCCACCUUUAUGGGGAAAUAUUCCAGUUAGUCUAACAUCAAUGUGGCUGAGAGACGAAUGAAAAUGACACCACUAUUUCACAAAAAUUGAAAUGGAACUUUCUUUUUUGACCAUAAUAAAUUAUCCAUAAUAGCAGAGGUAAACCUGAAGUGUUCAGAAGUUAAUUUAAAUAAAUUCUACGUAAAUACUAUUUUAAAAGAGGGAGAGAAAAAAGCAACUGAAAUCUAGUUCAGGAAAACCAUAUGCUUGUUAUGAAAAUGUUUUACACAGGUCUGGUGGCCUAAUGUGAACUAAAAAAACUAAAAUUACUAAAAUUAAUGAAAAGUACUAAAGUAGACUUUAUAUGAUCAGAACCAAACCAAUUUGUUGUGCACAGUGCAUUUAGAGAACUCAGUACAUGAUAUCAUCAAUAAUGACUCUGUUUUCAUGUGUGGAGAUGAAAAGUAGUACACGAAAAAAGAAUUUAGCUGCUUUGGGCAGCUUCAAAUUCCUUGAUCUUCAUUUACUCUUUUAAAAUGCUGCUUCUAGCAGAGACAGUCUGGAGCAGAGGCUCCAGCUCUGAUUAGGUUUCUUGUUCAGAUGGCCUUAGCUGGGACUGUGUUACUUGGCUGAUGACAGAGAAAGGCUGAAAAUUUCCUGUGCAUGUUUCAAAAAAGAAAAAUAAAAGAAGUGAAAUCACAAAUAUCUAAAAAUUUUUGUCCCAAAUAUUAAAAAAUUGAAACUGACAUGUAAAACUGGACGGGUAGAAUGCUUUUGAAGAUUUGAAAGACUUUCCAAGUUCUACUUCUGCUGUGAUGUUUUAAAUCUCCUUUUUCUCUUCGGUAUCUCCUUUGCUUGUUUCUUUGUGUUGAACAUCACCUUCCUGCUGCUUGGGCCAAACAGUGUAGUGAGAACUUCAUCUUCAAGUAUCUCCAUGUCUCUGGCAAACAACCUUCUUGUUCCUCAUGCCCCUUAGAAGCCAAAGUAAAUACUUCAAUGAACAAUCUCCCAAUUUUUGAGUGCUAGGAAAGUCUGGAUGUAAGACAGGGAAGUGAUGUUCUUAUAGGAGUUGCAACUUUUAAAAUAUUACCAACAAAUAAAUUUCACAAAAGGAGGAAGGAAGCUGUAGGUAUUGCCCAAAAUUUUAAAAAUGUGUCUAAUUUCUACAAGCAACAGUUAUGGCAGAUCCUGAUGUUAACAUUAAAGUUAGGCGGCAAUUGAGAAAGGAAUUCCCAUAAAGAGUCAUGUAGCUGCACUAAUUCAAUUUUUACUUUUAUUCUUCUGUCUCACUCUAACAUCAAUUUCCAUUUUCCUCUUUUUGGUCUUCAAAAUAAAUAUAGUUUCACUGUCUUUUCCCUCUCCAACUUUGAUGGCUUACGUUUAUACAAAAUGAAAGGGUCUUGUAACAAGAAACUAUAUAUUGAAAUACAUAUUAAAAUACUAUUCAAUGCAUAUUAAAAAACAAUGCACUGGUUUGAGCAUCAGUUCAUGCCAACAGAGAUCAGAAAUCUGGCCCUUGGUGAGUACUUUGGAAUAACUGCCAGGAACUACUAAUCUUGUACAAUGUCCCCAUACGUUCUGAUAGAAAAGUGAUGCCAAGGAAAAAGCUCGAACUGGCACCCGUGCCUGGGAUCAUAUUUUCACCUGUCUUUCUCUUCUGAUUGCACAUCACCUCAGCUUUCUUAGAGGUAAUCUCAUUUCACUCCUUCAGUCAAAGGGGGCAUGCUACUGAUUGCAGAAAUAGCAAAGUGUUUUGUGAAUGUUUCUUCUUUAUCUUCCUUCAUCCCUCCCCUCCUGUGUCAUUAAACACAAUGAAACCUA